AUGCGCAAGGGCCUCGCCUCCGCGAUCCUCCUCGUCCCAUGGAUGAUUUGGAAACACCGUAACGAUUGCGUCUUCAACCGAGGACGGCCCUCGGCGAAUGACCUGCUUAUGAAGAUCAAGGAUGAGGCCGCCCUCUGGGCCAGAGCAGGCGCUCUACGGCUUCGCGCCAUCAUACCACAAACAUGGGACGUUCACUGA
rnacentral:rRNA from 1 species